UUUAAUUAGUUCCAACAUACCCACCACCCUCUUGUCAGCAAAACCUCACUCCGUCUCUCCCAACUUUUUCUUCCUAUUAAUCGACAUAUGAAGGGUUUUUUGCCCUAAUUGAAUUGGGGUUUUGUUUAUCUAUCAUCACCAACCUACUUUCCUUCGUGUUGAUUUUUAUGAAAAUAUUUAUCUCCAAAUCCGUCAAUAUAAUCACAGAAGCAUCAGUUGCAAUCGAUUACAUCAUAAUAUUCAGUGAAUCCCUUUUGGAAAUUGAUCCAUGUCGAUUAAAAGCAGAACGAAAAUCUCAGAUUGUGGUAUUGAGUUGGAUUCAACCGUACAGUUGGAAUUGGUAGAUGCUGAAUAAAGGUAUGGUGUAAAGUAGGUUCCAUUUGUAGUAUGAAGAUGGAGAUAGAAGAAAAUUAAAUAAAUAUUUCUGCUUAGCUGAUGCAAUCGGUCAUUGGAGCUGUCAAUUUGAAGCAACAAAUGUACAACAUAAAAGACGGUUCUUGGCAAUAAAUAUCAGGAAAAGAUGUUGGAAGUUUUAAACUCAAGGUAUUUUUGGAUAUAAUAUCAAAUCCCUUUAAAUACUGAAAACUGAAAAGCUGAUUUCUAGGACAUGAUUGGUCGAUUGAACAUUGAAGCAAUGAGGUAUGGGCGGGAAAAUUAGGGAGUAAAAUGCUAGAGGAGUGACACGUGGCAAGAAGGUGGAUUAAAGGGGUGACAUGUGACAAAAUGAUCGUUUCGAAGAUGAAAUGAGAAUUAGGGAUGGGUAUAUGAAAAUCGAGAAAGAGAAGUACCCAUUGCAGUUCCCUGAGGUUAAUAACUAGUUAAAAAUUGUUGUAAGAUCAGCAUGUCUAGGGUUUGCUAUAUGUUUUUUUUAGAUUAAUAUGCUUGUUUACCGUUAAUACCCAAGUAUUUUUAAAGAUCAUGUAUAAAAACUUCAUUUGCUCU